CAAUGGUGGCUUACAAGACCUUUGACCAUCUGGCUUCCCUCUCCAAGCAUGCCAAAUUAAUCACACUUCUUAAACACAUCUCUUGACCGGGGUGUUCUCACCAUGCCCUUUCUACAAACAAAAAGUCCUACAAGAGUUGGAGCCAUCCUCUCCUCAUCUUCUACUUUCUGCCUUCUUCUGGGACACGCUAUUGAUCACGAAGUAUCUUAUCCUUGAAAAAUCUCCUCUCUUCAACUCGAGUACUACUGCAGAAAGCAGCAACUUGGCGGCCUUUUAUGGAUGGGUGUUACUGAAAAUGAAGAUGUGGAGACCUGGAGACAGGUGGCACCUCGUGCUUCCUCCGAAGGGAGAGCCCAUUUCCUAACAGCUGGAUCAAAGGCAUGAAAUGAACAUGGAGUCCCUGAAGAUGAAGAGAAGGCAUGGCUUCCAGGGAGAAAUUGUACAUUACAGGAAUGCAGAUGUGAUUCCUAUGGAUGAGGGUAACCUAGAGGCUAGAAGAACAAUAGGACAGAAGAAGCCUGGGUCCCUGAACAACCUUGUGGAGCAUAGACACCUACGUGGCCUGGACUGCCAGCUCACAAUGGGCCUCUCUGUGAGAGAAGGAAACUUCCCUCUUGUUUAAGCAACUGUGCUUUUGAGAAUCUCUUGGUCUAUACCCUAAUGAAUAAGGCCAUCAUAAAUGGAUAUCAAAGUAAGGAAAUUUGUGUAAAUGAUUUAAUAAAACAUUACCUCAGGUAUGAAA
rnacentral:lncRNA from 1 species